UACAGAGGUCCCAAGCGUUGUUCGGAUUCACUGGGCGUAAAGGGUGCGUAGGUGGCCAGGAAAGUCUGAUGUGAAAUCUCCGAGCUCAACUCGGAAAUGGCAUUGGAAACUAUCUGGCUAGAGGGUCGGAGGGGGGACUGGAAUUCUCGGUGUAGCAGUGAAAUGCGUAGAUAUCGAGAGGAACACCAGUGGCGAAGGCGAGUCCCUGGACGACUCCUGACACUGAGGCACGAAAGCUAGGGGAGCAAACAGG
rnacentral:rRNA from 1 species